rnacentral:rRNA from 1 species
GGAUGAGCCCGCGUAGGAUUAGCUAGUUAGGUGUGGUAAGAGCGCACCAAGGCGACGAUCCUUAGCCUGGUCUGAGAGGAUCGAAUCAGCCACACUGGGACUGAGACAGCCCCAGACGUACCUACGGGAGGCAGCAGUGGGGAAUAUUGCACAAUGGGCGAAAGCCUGAUGCAGCGACGCCGCGUGAGGGAUGAAGGCCGUUCGGGUUGUAAACCUCCUUCAGUAGGGAAGAAGCGAAAGUGACGGUACCCUGCAGAAGAACGCGCCGGCUAACUACGUGCCAGCAGCCGCGGUAAUACGUAGGUGGCAAGCGUUAUCCGGAAUUAUUGGGCGUAAAGCGCGACGUAGGCGGUAAAAUAAGUCUGAUGUGAAAGCCCCCGGCUCAACCGGGGAGGGUCAUAGGAAACUGGUUUUACUUGAGUACAGAAGAGGAGAGUGGAAUUACCAGUCGUACGCGGCCG